AUGAGAAGAGAAGAGAAGAGAAGAGAAGAGAAGAGAAGAGAAGAGAAGAGAAGAGAAGAGAAGAGAAGAGAAGAGAAGAGGAGAGGAGAGGAGAGGAGAGGAGAGGAGAGGAGAGGAGAGGAGGAAAAGAGGGUGUGUGUGUAUGUGACUGUGUGUGUGUGGCUGUGUGUGUGUGGCUGUGUGUGUUCGUUGAGCACAAUCCUGACUGGAUUCAUGUGCGUUUGUGUUUUGUUUUAUAAAGCCUCCACCCCAAUAGCUCUUCCCUGUCUCCUCUCUCUAACCUUUAACCCCAAGUCCUCUUAUCUACAGUGUAUAUACAUUAUGACAACUAGGUUCUGCUGUUGUAUGAUGCAGACAUACAUGUGGUACAUAUUGUAAAAAAUAAAUAAAAUAAUGUAAAAAAAAAAGAAAUGCAAAACCAUUGAAUUGUUUAAAAUGUAAAAUAAUGAUUCUGGCAUUAAACAAACCAAGCUUUUAACUAUGAACGGUUUUUCAAUGUUUUCUCUUUGCUGUUUAGACCAGGCUAGUAUUAAUUGUGGUCUGCUAGCCCGGGGAUAGUACUGUUGAGACCAGGCUAGUAUUAAUUGUGGUCUACUAGCCUGGGGAUAGUACUGUUGAGACCAGGCUAGUAUUAAUUGUGGUCUACUAGCCCGGGGAUAGUACUGUUUAGACCAGGCUAGUAUUAAUUGUGGUCUACUAGCCUGGGGAUAGUGCUGUUUAGACCAGGCUAGUAUUAAUUGCAGUCUACUAGCCUGGGGAUAGUACUGUUGAGACCAGGCUAGUAUUAAUUGUGGUCUUCUAGCCUGGCUGGCCAGUGCUGUUUAGACCAGGCUAGUAUUAAUUGUGCUCUACUAGCCUGGGGAUAGUACUGUUUAGACCAGGCUAGUAUUAAUUGAGGUCUACUAGCCCGGGGAUAGUACUGUUGAGACCAGGCUAGUAUUAAUUGUGGUCUACUAUCCUGGGGAUAGUACUGUUGAGAUCAGGCUAGUUGACCAGGCUAGUAUUAAUUGUGGUCUACUAGCCCGGGGAUAGUACCGUUUAGACCAGGCUAGUAUUAAUUGUGGUCUACUAGCCUGGGGAUAGUACUGUUGAGACCAGGCUAGUAUUAAUUGUGGUCUUCUAGCCUGGCUGGCCAGUGCUGUUUAGACCAGGCUAGUAUUAAUUGUGGUCUACUUACCUGGGGAUAGUACUGUUUAGACCAGGCUAGUUGACCAGGCUAGUAUUAAUUGCGGUCUACUAGCCCGGGGAUAGUACUGUUUAGACCAGGCUAGUAUUAAUUGUGGUCUACUAGCCUGGCUUGCCAGUGCUGUUGAGACCAGGCUAGUAUUUAUUGCGGUCUGCUAGCCUGGCUGGCCAGUGCUGUUUAGACCAGGCUAGUAUUAAUUGUGGUCAACUAGCCCGGCUGGCCAGUACUGUUGAGACCAGGCUAGUAUUAAUUGUGGUCUACUAGCCUGGGGAUAGUACUGUUGAGACCAGGCUGGUAUUAAUUGUGGUCUUCUAGCCUGGCUGGCCAGUGCUGUUUAGACCAGGCUAGUAUUAAUUUUGCUCUACUAGCCUGGGGAUAGUACUGUUUAGACCAGGCUAGUAUUAAUUGAGGUCUACUAGCCCGGCUGGACAGUGCUGUUUAGACCAAGCUAGUAUUAAUUGCGGUCUACUAGCCUGAGGAUAGUGCUGUUGAGAACAGGUUAGUAUUAAUUGCGGUCUACUAGCCUUGGGAUAGUGCUGUUGAGACCAGGCUAGUAUUAAUUGCGGUCUACUAGCCUGGCUGGCCAGUGCUGUUUAGAUCAGGCUAGUAUUAAUUGUGGUCUACUAGCCUGGGGAUAGUGCUGUUGAGACCAGGCUAGUAUUAAUUGUGGUCUACUAGCCCGGCUGGCCAGUGCUGUUUAGACCAGUUUAGUAUUAAUUGCGGUCUACUAGCCUGGGGAUAGUACUGUUUAGACCAGGCUAGUAUUAAUUGUGGUCUACUAGCCUGGGGAUAGUACUGUUGAGAUCAGGCUAGUUGACCAGGCUAGUAUUAAUUGUGGUCUACUAGCCUGGGGAUAGUACUGUUGAGACCAGGCUAGUAUUAAUUGCAGUCUACUAGCCUGGGGAUAGUACUGUUGAGACCAGGCUAGUAUUAAUUGUGGUCUUCUAGCCUGGCUGGCCAGUGCUGUUUAGACCAGGCUAGUAUUAAUUGUGCUCUACUAGCCUGGGGAUAGUACUGUUUAGACCA
rnacentral:lncRNA from 13 species